rnacentral:rRNA from 1 species
UACGGAGGGGGCUAGCGUUGUUCGGAAUUACUGGGCGUAAAGCGCACGUAGGCGGCGAUUUAAGUCAGAGGUGAAAGCCUGGAGCUCAACUCCAGAACUGCCUUUGAGACUGGAUUGCUAGAAUCUUGGAGAGGCGGGUGGAAUUCCGAGUGUAGAGGUGAAAUUCGUAGAUAUUCGGGAAGAACACCAGUGGCGAAGGCGGCCCGCUGGACAAGUAUUGACGCUGAGGUGCGAAAGCGUGGGGAGCAAACAGG